CAAUAGCGUAUAUUUAAGUUGUUGCAGUUAAAAAGCUCGUAGUCGGAUUUUGGCUGAGAACGAACGGUCCGCCGUUAGGUGUGCACUGUUUGGUCUCAGCUUCCUGGUGAGGAGGUGUGCUUCACGGCCACUUAGUCACCGUGGUUACUUUGAAAAAAUUAGAGUGUUCAAAGCGGGCUUACGCUUGAAUAUAUUAGCAUGGAAUAACACCAUAGGACUCCUGUCCUAUUUCGUUGGUCUCGGGACGGGAGUAAUGAUUAAGAGGAACAGUUGGGGGCAUUCGUAUUUCAUUGUCAGAGGUGAAAUUCUUGGAUUUACGAAAGACGAACUUCUGCGAAAGCAUUUGCCAAGGAUGUUUUCAUUG
rnacentral:rRNA from 1 species